rnacentral:sRNA from 1 species
AAACAUUUCGUUAAUAAUUCGGGCAUCUGCCUAAAAUAAAAUAAAUGAUUAAUUACAUUAAAGAUAAAAGUAAAUUAAAUCAGGGUAUACAAAUAAAGUGCAAAGUGUGUGAAAAGUGAAGCAAAUUCGCGACAAGUACGAAAAAUUAGCUGACCCCCAUGGCCCUUCUUCAAUUUCCUUUUUUUAUGCCAAUUACUUUUUUAAUUGCGACACUUUCAAAAAUCAAGAAAAAAAGUUCAUCAAUGUGUGCAAAAAGUGAAAAGCCUUUUGCGAAAAAUGUGAGUGCCAGCCGUUGCUAAUUGAAGUUCAAUGGAAAAAUGACCAAAAGUUAAUGAUGACAUUUCGCCGGCAGAAAAAAAUAGCAAAACACAAUACGUAAAGCAGCACAAAUAGGAAUGGAAACGAAAGAGUAUAAGAGCUGAGUAAAUAAGAUUUUUGUAUGGAUUUUAGCAGGAAGUUGGACAGCAAGAGCCCGCUAGAUGAUUGACCUUUGGCUGCCCACUUCCUGCUAGAUAAUUGGCACAAGCAUGAUAAGACAAAGAAAGCUGAAUAGCUAAGGCAAGAGAUCUGGUUCAAAAGGGUUGAAGCAUCCCUUUGCUUUGGCCAUUGCUGGAUAUAACUCACAGUUUUCAACGAAAGGUCAGAUGGCCAGGAGUCCAAGGAGAUGAAGAAGAACACGAUUGAAGUUCAUAAAAUACAAUUUAUGCCGUUUAGAAAAUAAUAA